rnacentral:lncRNA from 1 species
UUCUCUCAAUGGUAGCUUGUGCACCACGAUAUCGGUAUCCAACCCUGGCAUAUCCUGAUACGACCGGGCGAAGAUAUCAACAUAUUCUUUCAACAGUGCUACCAUUCUGCUCAUGACAUUUGCCUCUGAAGCGGCCCCAACUUUCACUUUCUUCUUGACCUCCUUGGUGCUUGGCUUAACAAUCUCAACUCGCUCCUCGUGCGG